UUUUGAUUGGCAGCACUGUAUUGACGCUUGUGAAAAGUGAAAAAUAUUAUUUGCAAGAAAGAAAAACAAUAAUUUUGCGAUGGAAACAAGUUUAGAUGAUAGCAUGGAUGGUGAACAUUCAAGUCCAAGUCCAGAGGAUUCACUGAGUCGUUCGCCACCCUCAAUAAACGGCAAGUCUGGUGGUGUCGGCGUUAACGUUAGUGCAGGGGGUGGGGGCGGUAGUGGUCCAAAUGGGGUUUCCAUUGGCAACGAAAAAACUACUUCUAACCAGAGUACAUGGAAUAAACCAUUUAACGCAUUUAGCGGGCGGCCAAUGGGAGACCGUACUCAAAUGCAACAUCAGCAAGCCGGACAGCAUUCAGCAUUAAGCCAACCGUCUUCGAGCGCUAAUGGACUCACAUCGACACAAGAGAUUUGGGUAGAAACAAAAGCUGAAGAUGGCCGUUCGUACUACUAUCAUGCCGUAACACGCGAAACCACCUGGACACGACCAGAAGGACAAAAUAUUAAGAUAAUGACACAAUCAGAAGUUGAGGAGCUGGCAAAGCGACCAUCAAAUGCUGCUCAAAAGACAGAUUCUGAACGUGCUGAUGCCGUUGCACCGGCUUCUGGGGCUGGACCUGCGCAUUUGACUUCACAGCCACCACCACAUUUACUGAACCAGCCCCCACCCAACGCAGCAACGUCUCUACUGAAUCAACCGCCACCAAACGUGCAACGGCAGCCACCUCCAAUGUUCCAGCAGCCACCUGGCAUGCAGGCGCCCCCUGGUUUUGGUCAGCCGCCUCCAUUUUGCAUGCCACCACCUGCUUUCCAGCACGGCUUUCCAGGCUCAGCUCCUGCUGGUCCCUGGGGUGUAGGAGUUCCGCCUUGGCAACAGCAGCAUAUGCAUGCACCGCCCGUUGCAUCACAGGAUAAACCUGCCAAGACUUUGAUAAUCAAGCCCGGCGUCAUUGACCCAGCAGUGAUUGCACGCGCAGCUGAAUGGUCUGAGCAUCGUGCUCCAGAUGGUCGACCCUAUUAUUUUCAUGCUGGACGAGGCGAAAGCGUGUGGGAGAAACCGCAGGCUUUGCGUGAUAUGGAAGCCGCGCGCAUGGCAGCUCAUUCAGGCGCCGCACCGCAGACAGCGUCCGCUGCUGCCCCAAAUGGCAUGCCGCCGCAUUUGCUGCCCAAUCCGUUGAUGCAUCUGCCACCCGGCGGUGCAACCGGAUUUGAUCAACAAAUGGCAUUUGCGGCUGCCGCCGCGGCUAUGAAGGCCAACACUGAAAACAGCAAAGCAGCACAGGCUGCUGCUCUAGAAAGCGAGGCCAAAAAAAAAGUUGAAGAGAAGCGAAAGAAGGAUGAAGAACAUCAUAAGAAGCUGGCAGCAACUGCAAGACAGACGGAUAAAUCACGUCCAGUUACCAGCACUCCUAUCGCGGGCACACCUUGGUGUGUGGUAUGGACUGGAGAUGCACGUGUCUUUUUCUAUAACCCAUCAACGCGUACUUCUGUCUGGGAGCGACCCGAGGAUCUGAUGAAUCGCGAGGAUGUUGACAAAGCGGUUAAUGAUCGGCCCGAACAGCUUAAAACGCCUGAGGAGAAAUCGACGGAGGCGGAGCAAAAGACAACCGCCAAUGCUAAUACCAACGUCAGCGCCGUUGCUCAAGAUCAGUCUGCGCCAGGACACGAAGCCCUGCAGGUACAGCAGGUACAGGUGGGUGAAGAUGAGGAUGAUGAAGUCAUCAAAAUUCGCACCGAGUCCGAGUCCAGCGUUGAGGAAGUGCCCACAAAGCGUGUGCGUACAUUUACAAAAGCCAAGAAGAAUGAGGACGCUGUGUUGGAGGCUGAACAGCGUGCGGCCAAAGAGCGCGCCUUGGUGCCAUUGGAGACGCGUGUGACGCAAUUCAAGGAGAUGCUGCGUGAGAAGGAUGUGUCAGCGUUUAGCACCUGGGAGAAGGAGCUGCAUAAGAUUGUCUUUGAUCCACGCUAUCUGCUGCUGACAUCAAAAGAGCGUAAACAGGUAUUUGAAAAAUAUGUCAAGGAUCGUGCAGAGGAGGAGCGCAAGGAGAAGCGCAACAAAAUGCGCCAGAAGCGUGACGAUUUUCGCAAACUCAUGGAAGAGGCCAAGCUGCACGGCAAAUCUUCGUUCUCUGAGUUUAGUCAGCGCAAUGCCAAGGAUGAGCGCUAUCGCGCCAUUGAGAAGGUUCGGGAGCGCGAGAGUCUGUUCAAUGAGUACAUCGUUGAGGUGCGUCGUCGCGAAAAGGAGGAUAAACAGCUGAGAAAAGAGCAGGUAUGUGCUGGUGUCGGCAUUUGUUCUUGGGCGUACACUUACGUAUUUGUAUCUUCAUAUACCAUAUAUUCUAUAUUUCUAUAUAUGUUAUCACAUUACUUGUAUACAGAGUAUUUAAAUAAUGUUAUUGAUUUUUGGUUAAUUUAAAAAAACAAAACAAAACCUGAUACUAUCCAACGAAACUAUAUACCUGAUUUGAACGAUUGCCCCUGACAUAAUGCAAAUAUGGUGUUCGGGCUUGAGAGUUCGGUUAAACAUUUUAGCAACUACUACUACGAGCUAUGAGAUUACAGCACAAUUGCACCAACAAAUUUACACACAGCCGCCGUCGUCGUCAUCGUCAUCUUCGCCUGCUUGUUGUCGUCAUGGUCCCAGUUCCUGGCCCAAGUUGAUAGCUCAAGUUCACCACGCACACGCUUGCAAACUGUUUGUGUGGUAUGCAAAAAUUGAAAAUUACCUGAUAAUCGGUGUAAUUUCCACUUCCCGCCCCGCCCUGCGUGUCGUUGACGUGUCGCCUAGGAACGUGUGAUGUUUGAUGAUGAUGUUAUUGACGAGUUAAUAAACAUUGGGAUGUUUUCAUGUUGGAUGUACAUAUUAAGCAUGGAAGCCGCAACAUCAACAAGAACAACAACAACAUCAGCUGGCGCCAUAACAACAUCAACAACAACAACAAAACUUGUGCAGGUGGCAACAAGGCUGAAAGCAAACAGUAUGAAUAAUACAUAAUUUAAUUAACUCAAAUAUUUUGUUUUUGUUUCAUCAAAGUUGUAACCGGCAGAUGUUUAAAGAUAGCCCUGAGCCAUAGCAAAGUCCAAACCAAAGCCUGUGGCGAGCAAUUAAAAACUCAAACGAAAACUCGCUCAAGCUUCAGACACUGGCAUUCGCCAUUGAAUGUCUCUCUCAAUAUUUCUCUCCUAUUUCUAACAUACACAAAACUUACUUUAUACUAUGUAUUCUACAUAAGUUAAUUUAUUUAUUUAUUUAUGGCACUUCGGCAAAAGCUGAAGCAUUUUCCUUGGCUUAAAAUAGCGAUCGAGACAAUGACAAAUAAUUCGUUUAGCACUGUUUGUCCGUUGCUUUAUGCAAAUGUUUCAAAAUAUAUAUUAAAUAUUUUUCAAAUCCAUUUUAUUCAAGCUUUAAUGUUCUAGCUCUCUCUCUCUCUCUCUCUCUCUGUGUUUUGUCUGUUUGUCUGACAGUUUUGUUUUAAAUUUGCAUUUCUCUAUCGCUUCGCUAGGCCAGCCAUUAAUCAAUCAGUUCUAUUUCAGUUAAACAAACAUUCUUUUUCAGCAACUCAAAGCGUGUAACUAUAUUUAUUAAUUUAUAAGCACCUUAGCUCAUAAGCCAAUGUCAAGUUAAAUUUAAGUUGUAGCAUUUUAAGUGAAGUGCCCAUCAGUACCAAGAAUAUAACUAAUUCGAGUUUCUCAACCACUUUCUCUUCUCUUCCGCAUGGCUGUCAUGUUGAAAUUCCUUUUUGAAACUUUAGAUACGCAAAGACUUC